ensembl:lncRNA
CUGCAGCGGAGCGCGCGAACUUAACCACUCGGCCACGGGGCCAGCCCCCACCUCUGGACUUUUCCAUGAACCAAUACAUCUUUAUAGUUUGAGUAGUUUGAGUUCGGGUUUUUGUAACUUGAAAAUAGAUUUCCUAAUGAAAACAGAUAAGUAGGGUUCAACAGGUAGAGAUAUUAAUGCCUCACAUUUUUAUGGAAUGUUUGUUUAUAGAAUGCUGAAGGGUAUUCCAGAAAGAGGGAAUAGCAGAUAUGAAGGCAGGAAUGUGAGAGCUAGGGGUUUCUGCAGGGCAAGGUAUGAGUUGAGUUGAGAAAGAUGAGAUAUAGAAGGUAGGCUAGAGCUAGCAUCUGGAGAAACUGGUUUCUACACUCAACUUGGUAGGUGGUGGGAAUCAUUGAAAGGAUUUGAGCAGAGAUUGCUUUAAAAUGAUAAAAUGUCAAGUUUGGAAGAAGCUUUAAAAGUAAUCUGGCUCAACUUUGGGUUCUGUUUUUGUCUCCAUUUCAUGGAUGAGGAAAUGUGACAUGGCCAUUGUCUCACAGAUGGUAGGUCUAGGAAUCAGGAUUCUUCGAACCCAGGGCCGUCUGAGCCCCAGAGCAUGCAUUCAGCCACUUCCUCUUCCCACCACUGGAAUUAAUCCUUCCCUCUGAGUUCACCCUGAAUGGGCGAAUCCUUCUUCAGAGAUUUGACAAUCAUGUUUGUAGAGCUACCGGAGCUAGGAUUAGGAAGAUGGACUCGAGGAAGGGGAGAGUAGAGGGACCCAACAGGUAUCUUCAACAGAGGCAAAGAAUGAAGGCGGAUAAGGAAGGAGCAGAUGGAGAUAGAGGAAUAUAAGUAGGAAGAAGUCAUUGAGGAAGACACUGGCUUGUCAUUAGAACAGGUGUUGCAAAAUCAGGGCCAGGCAGAUACCAUAAAUGAGCAAAGUGGGUCAGGUAUAAGAAAAUAGGCAGUAAUGGGGUCUGUAGCAAGCUGGGAGUUCAUGCCCCUUCUAAAGUAGGCAGCUACUACUCGUGGGAAUACACAGGCCCAGUGUUGCAAGUUGCCGGGUCUAAAAAGAAAAAAAGCUCUAAGUUCAAAUUUUGUAUGAAAUCAUCUUGUUUUUAAGUGCUGGCAACUAAUUCAAAAUUAAAAAGAAAAAAAACCACUGUGCUGGCCUGAAACACAUACACCUUAAGUCUGGGUUUGGCCUGUGGGCUGCCAGUUCAUCCCUUCUAAUUAAUUUGGGUCCACACCCCUCUUCACUACUUACAGCUGUCUGCUCUUGAGCAAAUUACUUCACCUCUCAAGUCCCAGGUUGUUACCUGCAACAUGAGGAUAAUUAAUUCCCCACAUUAUAGGCUUGCUGUAAGGAUUCUUUUUUUUUUUUUUUUUGAGGAAAAUUAGCCUUGAGCUAACAUCUGCUGCCAAUCCUCCUCUUUUUGCUAAGGAAGACUGGCCCUGAGCGAACAUUCGUGCCCAUCUUCCUCUAUUUUAUGUGGGACACCUACCACAACAUGGCUUAACAAGCAGUGCAUAGGUCUGCACCCGGAAUCCAAACCAGCGAACCCCGGGCCACCGAAGUGGAAUGUGCACACUUAACUGCUGCGCCACCAGGCUGGCCCCUGGGAUUUUUAAAAAUAAGAUAAUUAUAUGUAAAGUACUCAGAACAGUGCCUGACAUAGAGCAAACACAAAAUAGUUUUAUCAUUGUGAAAGUUAUUCUUUCUCCUGUAACCCAUAAAAUCAUGAACUAGAAGUGAUGAGGAUUUUAGGCUGGUUACUUUUAAAACUGCAGAUGAGAAGCAGGCUCCG